rnacentral:rRNA from 1 species
UGCAGUCGAGCGGCAGCGACUUAACUGAACCUUCGGGGAACGUUAAGGGCGGCGAGCGGCGGACGGGUGAGUAAUGCCUGGGAAUAUGCCCUGAUGUGGGGGAUAACUAUUGGAAACGAUAGCUAAUACCGCAUAACCUCUUCGGAGCAAAGAGGGGGACCUUCGGGCCUCUCGCGUCAGGAUUAGCCCAGGUGGGAUUAGCUUGUUGGUGAGGUAAUGGCUCACCAAGGCAACGAUCCCUAGCUGGUCUGAGAGGAUGAUCAGCCACACUGGAACUGAGACACGGUCCAGACUCCUACGGGAGGCAGCAGUGGGGAAUAUUGCACAAUGGGGGAAACCCUGAUGCAGCCAUGCCGCGUGUGUGAAGAAGGCCUUCGGGUUGUAAAGCACUUUCAGUAGGGAGGAAGGUAGUGUAGUUAACACCUGCACUAUUUGACGUUACCUACAGAAGAAGCACCGGCUAACUCCGUGCCAGCAGCCGCGGUAAUACGGAGGGUGCGAGCGUUAAUCGGAAUUACUGGGCGUAAAGCGCAUGCAGGCGGCCUGUUAAGUCAGAUGUGAAAGCCCGGGGCUUAACCUCGGAAUUGCAUUUGAAACUGGCAGGCUAGAGUCUUGUAGAGGGGGGUAGAAUUUCAGUGUAGCGGUGAAAUGCGUAGAGAUCUGAAGAAUACCAGUGGCGAAGCGGCCCCCUGGACAAAGACUGACGCUCAGAUGCGAAAGCGUGGGGAGCAAACAGGAUUAGAUACCCCGGUAGUCCACGCCGUAAACGAUGUCUACU